GACAGAAAAAACAUAGUAAUGUUGCAAAAUGCAGGACCCAAGAAUUGUCAACGCUCAAGGGCACUCAAGGGGCUCUCUUCUCUAAGACCCCUUUCUCAGUGAGAGGAUUCUACACUGUUGACCCCUCUCUCAGUGAAGAUGCUGGAGAGUUUUGGCACCUGUUCCCACUAACUUACUUUCGUGACUUGGAUUAUGACCUCCCCAUGUAAGGGAAGGCAGUAUAGUUACUGCCCCAUCCCCAUUCCUACCACUGAAAUAAAAUUCAUGUCUCCUACACUUCUAAACACUACUAGAUUCAAAUAGGCUGACAAUCUGCAACUCCACCUAAAGAUCUCUCAAAUCUUGCAGAAGCAAAUGGGGCAUGCAUGUUUCUCUUCAAAUCUUCUCAACCCUCCUUGGACUUCAGCCAUUGCUGCCCAACCCAUUCUAUACUGCUUUGACCACCUUUGCACAAGCAUAACCUGACAGACUUCUCUUAGAACCACACAGUUUACCUACAUCUCACUUUCUACUCCAGAGCUUCUCCAGUACAAUGAUGUGGGAUACUGUGGCAAUUCGCCUGGCACACAGGAUGUUAAUUCCCAAAGGUCACCCUUGAUCAGUGGAAGAUGGGACUCACAGGAAUCCAGUGUGUAAAUAUGUUUCCAUUUCUUCUGUCAAAAAAUAAUUCAGAGACUCAUCUAAUAAUGCUCCCCAAGGUGGUCGCUUGCAGUGGUGUCCAAUACAAUUGGCCUACUGUCCUUUCACUUUACUAUCCAUAACUCUUCCUCUUCCCUCUAAGAUCUCGUUCCACCCUAAGGACUUAACAUACACAACUCUGGCUCAGCCUCUGUAUUUGAAGAAACCCAGGUUAAAACAGAGAUACCAAAAGUAGCCACAGAAAGCUGUCAGGAUGGGAUUUUGGAACUAGCAAUAAGCACUAAUUGCUGGUUGUAAGUAAGGUAGGCAUAACUUCAAUAGUUUCAUAUAUCCAAAAAUAGUCCUACAAAUAACAUAUUCUAAUAAAUCAUAUAACAAUCAUAUAAUGUUUUUAAUCUCUCAAUAAUAAAAAUGUAUCAACUAUGCUAGAGGAAACUUUGAAUUAUCUUUCUAGUUUCUCUGUAGAAAAUGUUACAAAGUUGUCAUAUGGAGAAGAAAUCAAAGUGUAUACAGCUAUAAAAAGUAAGAUUAAUAGUAUUAUGCAUUUGAGAUUGGGCAUAAAUUUUAUGUUUUUUUUUUUUUAUUUUCUAGUGUUUUGUGGUAUUAUUUCAGGGGUUGGUAAGUGACCUGAGCUAGUCUAAUUUGAAUUUCAGAUCUUAUGAUGAUGAACGGGCAUUUUCGCUGGAUUCAAACCUGAAAGAUUAUUGUCCCAGGGGCUAUAAGCUACUUUCUUGAAAGCAUGUAGGCUUAGAUAAUGGAGCCAAUAGCAACUAGGAAAUGCUUAAAAAUUAAGAAAGAAGAAAAUAAUUUGACUCCUAGAAUAAGAGGAAUCUGAAACCACUGUUCCAUUAUAUGAGGCAAUAAAUUCCUCUUUCUUAGACAUUUGAGUUGGAUUUUCCAUUACUCACUACAGAAAGCAAAGGUACACAGGGAUUACUAUCCUCUUGAACACAAUGAAUGACAAAACAUUUGGCUUUUUUCUGGUAUAAAAACCAUAUCUAAUUAUUUCCAAUGUUAUUUCAAACAUGGCCCAUGACAUCCUGAGUAAACUGUACUUAUUCCUCAUUCUUAAUUUUCUUAUGAUUUCUUCAGGGAAAACUAUUUUGGUUUUCAUUAGUUUAUUUUCUCUGAUUUGCAUUCUUAUAGCACCUUAUAUUUCAUUUUUAUAUUAUAUAUAAAUAGAUGAUAGAUUGAUAAAUAGGUAGACAGAUGAUAGAUAGACGAUAAAUUUGUCUUCUGUAUCUCCCAUAAGACUUUAAGCUCCAAGAGGGAGGCUUACCAUCUUCAUUUAUUUUCAAAGGUAUAUGCCUGGCAUCAAGCCCAAUGUCUGUAUGAAAAGAAUACUAGUUAAGUGAGAAAAUAGUGCCUGAUGGAAUGAUAGAAUGAAUGAAUUAUUUAACUCAUAUAAACAUGAAAAGCCAGAAUCUUCAAAUUGCUAAUAAAUACAUGAGUAUGUAUAUACUCAUAUACAAUUAUGUAUGUAUACUUAUUUUAUACAUAUUUGUGUAUGUAUGUGUGUACAUAUAUAGAUACAUAUAUGUGUGAACUUAUAUAUGUAGACACACACAGAAACAUACAUGUUAAAGAAUGUGAAGGGAAGAUCUAUACAGGCCUGAAUGCCAUGUAAUAGUCACAGUGCUCAGGAUCCCUUGAAAACCCAUUUGAUCUUAGAGUGGAGUAGGUAGUAGAGCAGAUGACAGAAAAAGAGGAAGGUAUGCUCUAAAUGCAAUCAGCAAAUACUAUUUUGUUUUAUGUUGAGAUAUUUUUUUCUACACAAAUUACAUAAGAAAAUUACACUAUCUUGGUAUAAUAUGUGUGAUGAGGAUGGCUAAACAUUUGCAGCACUAUUCACAGAAGCCAAGACAUGGAAACAGCGUAAAUGUCCAUUGACAGAUGAAUGGAUUAAGAAGAUAUGUUAUAUAUACACAAUGGAAUACUAUUCAGCCAUAAAAAAGAACAAAAUAGUGCCAUUUGCAGCAACAUGGUUGGAACUAGAGACUCUCAUACUAAGUGAAGUAAGUCAGAAAGAGAAAGACAAAUACAACAUGAUAUCAUUUAUAUCUGGAAUCUAAUAUACAGUACAAAUAAACCUUUCCACAGAAAAGAAACUCAUGGACUUGGAGACCAGACUUGGGGUUGCCAAGGGGGAGGAGGAGGAAGUGGGAUGGACUGGGAGUUUGAGGUUAAUAGAUGCUAACUAUUGCCUUUGGAGUGGAUAAGCAAUGGGAUCCUGCUGUAUAGCACUGGGAACUAUAUCUAGUCACUUAUUGUGGCACAUGAUGGAGGAAAAUGUGAGAAAAAAAAUGUAUAUAUGUAUGUGUGACUGGGUUACUUUACUGUACAGUAGAAAAUUGACAGAACACUGUAAACCAACUAUAAUGGAAAAAAUAAAAAUCAUUUAAAAAUGAGAAUCAUCUUAUGAUUCUCCAGAAUUGCCUCCCUCCACAAAAGAUUUUAUUCUGAUGUAUCCAUUAGAAUUAGGAAAAAUUAUCCUUAUCUUGGAAAUAAGACAAAAAAGAAUACAGCAUAUUUUUUCAGUGACAUACUGGGACAUUUUAUCAACAGGUCUACCCUUGGAUUAUUUGCUUCUCUUGGAAAAUAUAAUUCUGAAGCUACUCUCCAAGGAAGGAGAGAUUUUUUUCUCAUAAAAAGAUCACCCCAAAGGUUGUGUUCUUAUUGCCUCUCUUGGACCCAAACAAGCUUUCUGUCUUACCUAGACAAUUAAAGUUCAUAUUUUCAAACACCUGUAACUAGUUUCUCAAAAGUUCUUUGAACCAACUUUAUCAUCCUACUGGUCACAUGAUUAAUGAGUUAACACUCAGUGAUACCCCUGUUGUAUAAAAGACUUGUGUUUAUUUUUUGGAAAAAUUACCCUUUGAGCAUGAGAAUCUAUGCUCAUUCCUAUUUAUUUAGCACAACAGUUUUGAGGAAUAUUUAAGCCAUUAAUAAUUUUUUUUAUGACCUCACCUGUGGCAUGUGGAGGGUUCUGGGCUAGAGUUGAGUUGGAGCUCCAGCUGAGGCCUCUGCCACAGCCACAGCAACACUGGAUCUGAGCCACAUCUGUGACCUAUGUGACAGUGCCAGAUCCUAACCCACUGAAUGAGGCCAGGGUUUGAAGCUGCACCUCGGAGAAACAUCAGAUUCUUAACCCACUGAGCCACAAUGGGAACCCCAGUAGAAGUAUUUUGAAAUUAUCUUUUCCUCCAUUGACUUCUAUUGAGAAAAAUGUUGGGUUUUUCUGUAUUUUAAGACAUUAAGGCUACUUUUUUCCUUUUUGGGCGAGUGUUUUGUAAAGUGGGUCCCCCUCGUAGCAAAGUUGCUCUCUUCUCAUUGAGACUGGUUAAAUUUCACACCUGGUGCCUACACAUUCUACCCUUACAUAAUGGAGUUUGACACAUCAUAUGAUUUUAAUGGCCCUCAUGCGCAGCCUGUGGAUGUUAGCAACUUCAAGUGUUUGGGUAGUCUCAGCCUUUCUUCCCCCCACUUUAGUAUUCUUUUUCAACUUUCGUAAGAUCAGAAACCAGUAGGCAGCUCAAGGAACUGACUUAGUGAGUAUUUGAGGCCAACUUAUUUCUAGAUAUUAUGAAAGUGGUGUGAGGUGUGACAGGAGCAUCAACACAGGUGACUUGUUACUGAGGCAGGGGGGCUCAAGGGGGUGCUAUUAACAGUGUCUUCUAGAGCCAUCUUUUUGGCGCCUCUGUUCCUGUGAAGCCAGUACACCAUCUGGCAGUUAGGCAUAGUGCCAUUUUAACAGAUGGGACCCAUAUAGGAGGCUCUGAGACCAUUUAUUACUAUCAACCAUAGUGUCGGACAGAGUUUUCUGAGGAAAUAUUCAACUCACUCAUUUUCACCUUGGCUUUUAAUUCCUCAGUAAAAGUAGAUAAUAUUUCUUCCUUUAAGUGAGGAAAAGACAAGAAAUGGUUUUCUCUUGGGAGUCUGGUGCUAUCAGAGAAUGAGUUGAUGCCAAAUCUUAUACACACUCAUUAUUCAUACAACUUUAGCAAAGUGACUCUUUUUUUCUUAAAUAUUUCCCUUUCAAAAUAUUCUAUAACAGCCUAGUUUUUAGCCUCAUAAUUUGAUAUGUAUAUGUAUAUGUCUUUUGGAUGUGAUUAAAAACAAAACAGAUUGAGUCAUUUUCCCCUUUUGAUGUCCUAGAAAGAACUGAAAUUAAGAGGGAAAAAGCUAUCAAUCAUUGGCCACUUGGAAAAAUUUUGGUGGGUGCUUAACUUAGGCAUAUGAUAUUUUUAUGAUUCAAAGGAGUAAAUGAUACAAUUUUUGCCCUCAAAAAACUUAUCAGUUUGUUGGGAAGAUAAAACACAUACCUAAAAUGACAUUUCUUCUUUCACUGUAAAAGUAAUUCAUAAUUGGAAUAGGGCAUUAGAAAAAUACAGACAAAUGGAAGAAAAAUAAGUUAUCCAUAACCUUAUCACACAAAACCAAUUCCUGCUACACUUUGAGGUGUUCAUCCCCAGUGUUUUGUUGUUGUUGUUAUUGUUGUUGUUUGUGGGUUUAUUGGUCUUUUUCAGUGCACACUAUUUGGUUCAUGUAUUUAUGAUCCUAUUACAUAUCUAGCUUUUGAUACUGAUCUUUCAUAAUAUGCUAUGAUCCUAUUACAUAUCUAGCUUUUGAUACUGAUCUUUCAUAAUAUGCUAUAGAGAUGGCUUUAAUAAACAUCUUUGUAAAUGAACUUUUUUCUUUUUUAUUCUUAUGUGCUUAGAAAAUAUCUCCAGGAGUUCCCGUUGUGGCUCAGUGGUUAAUGAAUUUGACUAGGAACCAUGAGGUUGCGGGUUCGAUCCCUGGCCUUGCUCAGUGGGUUAAGGAUCUGGCGUUGCCGUGAGCUGUGGUGUAGGUUGCAGAUGCGGCUCGGUUCCUGUGUUGCUGUGGCUCUGGCGUAGGCCAGUGGCUACAGCUCCAAUUCGACCCCUAGCCUGGGACCUCCAUAUGCUGUGGGAGCGGCCCAAGAAAUGGCAAAAAGACAAAAAAUAAAAAAGAAAGUAUCUCCAGAAGCAAACUUUCUGGGUCAAAGGGAAUACUUGUUUAUUAAAGAAUCUUCAAGAGUUCCCAUCAUGACUCAGUGGUUAAUGAAUCUGACUAGGAAUCAUGAGGUUGCAGGUUCGAUACCUGGCCUGGCUCAGCGGGUCCAGCGUUGCUGUGAGCUGUGGUGUAGGUCACAGACGCAGCUCAGAUCUAGCAUUGCUGUGACUGUGGCGUAGGCCAGCAGCUGCAGCUACAGCUCCAAUCAGACCCCUAGCCUGGAACCUCCAUA
rnacentral:lncRNA from 1 species